rnacentral:rRNA from 1 species
GACGAACGCUGGCGGCGUGCCUAAUACAUGCAAGUUGAGCGCUGAAGGUUGGUACUUGUACCGACUGAAUGAGCAGCGAACGGGUGAGUAACGCGUGGGGAAUCUGCCUUUGAGGGGUGGACAACAUUUGGAAACGAAUGCUAAUACCGCAUAAAAACUUUAAACACAAGUUUUAAGUUUGAAAUAUGCAAUUGCAUCACUCAAAGAUGAUCCCGCGUUGUAUUAGCUAGUUGGUGAGGUAAAGGCUCACCAAGGCGAUGAUACAUAGCCGACCUGAGAGGGUGAUCGGCCACACUGGGACUGAGACACGGCCCAAACUCCUACGGGAGGCAGCAGUAGGGAAUCUUCGGCAAUGGACGAAAGUUUGACCGAGCAACGCCGAGUGAGUGAAGAAGGUUUUCGGAUCGUAAAACUCUGUUGGUAGAGAAGAAAGUUGGUGAGAGUGGAAAGCUCAUCAAGUGACGGUAACUACACAGAAAGGGACGGCUAACUACGUG